rnacentral:misc_RNA from 1 species
GAUGAAGAACGCAGCGAAAUGCGAUAAGUAAUGUGAAUUGCAGAAUUCAGUGAAUCAUCGAAUCUUUGAACGCACAUUGCGCCCCCUGGCAUUCCGGGGGGCAUGCCUGUUCGAGCGUCAUUACAACCCUCAAGCUCUGCUUGGUAUUGGGCUCUGCUGGGACCGGCAGGCCUUAAAAUCAGUGGCGGCGCCACUCGGCUUCAAGCGUAGUAAUUCUUCUCGCUUCGGAGACCCGGGUGCGUGCUAGCCAGCAACCCCCAACUUUCUUAGGUUGACCUCGGAUCAGGUAGGGAUACCCGCUGAACUUAAGCAUAUCAAUAAGCGGAGG